rnacentral:rRNA from 1 species
GACUCUCGACAAUAGAUAUCUCGGCUCUCGCAUCGAUGAAGAACAUAACGAAAUGUGAUACUUGGUGUGAAUUGCAGAAUCCCGUGAACCAUCGAGUCUUUGAAGGCAAGUUGCGCCCCAAGCCAUUAGGCCGAGGGCACAUCUGCCUGGGUGUCA